rnacentral:rRNA from 1 species
AACGCGAAGAACCUUACCCAGACUUGACAUGCAGAGGACAGUCCUAGAAAUAGGAUCUCCCUUCGGGGCCUUUGCACAGGUGCUGCAUGGCUGUCGUCAGCUCGUGCCGUGAGGUGUUUGGUUAAGUCCAGCAACGAGCGCAACCCUUAUCAUUAGUUGCCAACACGUAAAGGUGGGAACUCUAGUGAGACUGCCUGGGUUAACCAGGAGGAAGGUGAGGAUGACGUCAAGUCCGCAUGGCCCUUAUGUCUGGGGCUACACACGUGCUACAAUGGUCGGUACAGAAGGCAGCGAAACCGCGAGGUGAAGCAAAUCCCCAAAGCCGAUCUCAGUUCAGAUUGUAGUCUGCAACUCGACUACAUGAAGACGGAAUUGCUAGUAAUGGCAGGUCAGCAACACUGCCGUGAAUACGUUCCCGGGUCUUGUACACACCG